AAGUCGUAACAAGGUUUCCGUAGGUGAACCUGCGGAAGGAUCAUUAUCGUAGGGCUUCGGCCCUGUCGAGAUAGAACCCUUGCCUUUUUGAGUACCUUUCGUUUCCUCGGCAGGCUCGCCUGCCAAUGGGGACCCAAUAAACACUUUGCAGUACCUGUAAUAGUCUGAAAAACAAACAAAAAUUAAAACUUUCAACAACGGAUCUCUUGGUUCUG
rnacentral:misc_RNA from 1 species